rnacentral:rRNA from 1 species
CACGUAGGGCGCAAGCGUUGUCCGGAAUUAUUGGGCGUAAAGAGCUCGUAGGCGGUCCGUCACGUCGGCUGUGAAAACCCGGGGCUCAACUCCGGGCCUGCAGUCGAUACGGGCGGACUAGAGUACUGCAGGGGAGACUGGAAUUCCUGGUGAUAGCGGUGAAAUGCGCAGAUAUCAGGAGGAACACCGGUGGCGAAGGCGGAUCUCUGGGCCGUUACCUGAACGCUCGAGGUGACGGAAAGCCUAGGGGAGCGA